UACGUAGGUGGCAAGCGUUGUCCGGAAUUAUUGGGCGUAAAGCGCGCGCAGGCGGCCUUUUAAGUCUGAUGUGAAAGCCCACGGCUCAACCGUGGAAGGUCAUUGGAAACUGAAGGGCUUGAGUACAGAAGAGGAAAGCGGAAUUCCACGUGUAGCGGUGAAAUGCGUAGAGAUGUGGAGGAACACCAGUGGCGAAGGCGGCUUUCUGGUCUGUAACUGACGCUGAAGCACGAAAGCGUGGGGAGCAAACAGG
rnacentral:rRNA from 1 species